rnacentral:rRNA from 1 species
GUGUCAGCAGCCGCGGUAACACGUAGGCACCAAGCGUUAUCCGGAUUUAUUGGGCGUAAAGAGCUCGUAGGCGGUUCGGUAAGUCGGGUGUGAAAACUCUGGGCUCAACCCAGAGAGGCCACCCGAUACUGCUGUGACUAGAGUGCGGUAGGGGAGCGGGGAAUUCCUGGUGUAGCGGUGAAAUGCGCAGAUAUCAGGAGGAACACCAGCGGCGAAGGCGCCGCUCUGGGCCGUAACUGACGCUGAGGAGCGAAAGCAUGGGUAGCAAACAGGAUUAGAAACCCCCGUAGUCC